AAUGGCAGGUCAGCAUACUGCCGUGAAUACGUUCCCGGGCCCUUGUACACACCGCCCGUCACACCAUGAGAGUUGGGAAUGCCCGAAGCCUGUGAGCUAACGUUAAGAGGCAGCAGUCGAAGGUAGAAUCAAUGAUUGGGGUGAAGUCGUAACAAGGUAUC
rnacentral:rRNA from 1 species